rnacentral:rRNA from 1 species
GACAGAGGUGCCAAGCGUUAGGCGGAAUCACUGGGCUUAAAGCGUGUGUGGGCGGAAUGGUAAGUACCUUGUGAAAUCCCACGGCUCAACCGUGGAACUGCUUGGUAUACUGCUUUUCUUGAGCCACUUAGGGGCAACCGGAACAAACGGUGGAGCGGUGAAAUGCGUAGAUAUCGUUUGGAACGCCAAUGGUGAAAACAGGUUGCUGGGAGUGUGCUGACGCUGAGACACGAAAGCCAGGGGAGCAAACGGG